CCAACAAUAUGUGGGCAUACAUGGCAAUGGGCAUAAAUUGAUCUCUUUUUCAAUUUGCAAGGCAAGCAUCUUUCUUGCUCAUCUGCCACCCUCUGUUUCUUAGAGACCCACGGGAUGUGAAAAGCUUAAUUACAAAAACAAAGGGAGAAUCUGCAUCUUUUUCAUCACUACAAACACAGCAGAAUAAAAGGGAAGAGCAGGCAAGGAUCUUAAUUCUUGUGGGAUUACAAAAGGGUAUGAAAUGGGGUUCAAGAAACUGGGAUUGUUCUUUUUGGUGAUUAUCUUGUUUCAAGUUCAUCUUCAUGCACAUCCCUUGCAAAAUAAUACCUCCACUGCUACUACUGCCUUCCAUCAGGAACCAAAUGCUACAGACCAAAAAAUUAGCAGAGCCAAAAAGAUGAUAGGAAAGUUUGAAGUUGCAGAAGGGCAAGAGCGGCUGGUCUCAGUAGACAGGAGGGGUGGAGGAGGUGGAGGAGGUCAUGGAAGCCAUUCAAUGGGAAGCAGAGCGCAUGGCGGAGAAGUUAAUGGUAAUGGUGAUACAGGGUACAGGCAUGGUGCAACUGUAGUUCCCUUGUAUGCUGCUGGGGCUAUGAACCAUCACCAAAAUAAUCACCGGAACCGUGGUUCUAAUGAAGGCUGCCCGAACCAUGCUGGUUCCAGUUAUUUGGUUCUUGCAGCUUUGGCUGCUUGUCUUCUCAAGUAUUUUGCAUAGCUUACCAUUGUAGGGAGUGUUGUAUAUAGUGUUUAUGAUGUCCAAAAUACUACAAUCACGACUAGAUUUUGAUGUGUGAUCUUGUUUGUUUUUUCCCCCUCCUGCUGUCGACUUUGAAUGAGAUAUACUACAUUUUUAAUUAGC
rnacentral:misc_RNA from 1 species